rnacentral:rRNA from 1 species
UACGUAGGUGGCUAGCGUUGUCCGGAUUUACUGGGCGUAAAGAGCGCGCAGGCGGUCGUUCAAGUCGAGUGUGAAAGCCCCCGGCUCAACUGGGGAGGGUCACUCGAUACUGAUCGACUCGAAGGCAGGAGAGGGAAGCGGAAUUCCCGGUGUAGUGGUGAAAUGCGUAGAUAUCGGGAGGAACACCAGUGGCGAAGGCGGCUUUCUGGCCUGUUCUUGACGCUGAGGCGCGAAAGCCAGGGGAGCAAACGGG